AAUCCAAAUUAUCAAAAUUACUUUGCUCAUCCUCCUCCAAGUCAAAGUCAACCACUAAUAAAGAAAAAAAGAAGUCUUCCAGGCAACCCAGAUCCAGAAGCAGAAGUGAUAUCCUUAUCACCCAAGACAUUAAUGGCAACAAACAGAUUUGUGUGUGAGAUGUGUAACAAAGGGUUUCAAAGAGAUCA